UAGGGAAUCUUCCACAAUGGGCGAAAGCCUGAUGGAGCAACGCCGCGUGUGUGAUGAAGGGUCUCGGCUCGUAAAACACUGUUGUAAGAGAAGAAUGACAUUGAGAGUAACUGUUCAAUGUGUGACGGUAUCUUACCAGAAAGGAACGGCUAAAUACGUGCCAA
rnacentral:rRNA from 1 species